rnacentral:tRNA from 1 species
GGUUAUGGCUCAGUGGUACAGCACUCGCCUUGCACGUGCAAGGUCCUGGGUUUGAUCCUCAGCACCA